GUGCCAGCCGCCGCGGUAAUACGGAGGGUGCGAGCGUUAAUCGGAAUUACUGGGCGUAAAGCGUACGCAGGCGGUUUGUUAAGCGAGAUGUGAAAGCCCCGGGCUCAACCUGGGAACUGCAUUUCGAACUGGCAAACUAGAGUGUGAUAGAGGGUGGUAGAAUUUCAGGUGUAGCGGUGAAAUGCGUAGAGAUCUGAAGGAAUACCGAUGGCGAAGGCAGCCACCUGGGUCAACACUGACGCUCAUGUACGAAAGCGUGGGGAGCAAACAGGAUUAGAUACCCUGGUAGUCCACGCCGUAAACGAUGUCUACUAGAAGCUCGGGUCUUCGGACUUGUUUUUCAAAGCUAACGCAUUAAGUAGACCGCCUGGGGAGUACGGCCGCAAGGUUAAAACUCAAAUGAAUUGACGGGGGCCCGCACAAA
rnacentral:rRNA from 1 species